rnacentral:lncRNA from 1 species
UUUUUUGGUUUGUUGAUGUUGUUGUUGUUGUUGUUGUUAUUGAGACCCUAAACCUUAGAGGUUUAAUCUUGUUGUUGUUGUUGUUUGAACAAAUUUAUGCUAUAGGUUUAUUUAUGAUGUUGUUGUAGUUUUUUUGAGUGUUUUUUUGAGUUGUUAUUUAAUGUAAGUCGUUGUUUUUUAGUUAUUGAUGUUAUUGUUGUUGUUGUUUAGUUGUUAUACUACCCAAAGUUAUGAAAAUAUAUAUGUUGUAGUUUAGUUGUUGUUCAUGAGUUUGAGUUUGACAUUGAUAUUGAGAUUGAGAUUAUGUCUUUUGUGAUUCUUUG